rnacentral:rRNA from 1 species
GAUGAACGCUGGCGGCGUGCCUAAUACAUGCAAGUCGAGCGAACAGACGAGGAGCUUGCUCCUCUGACGUUAGCGGCGGACGGGUGAGUAACACGUGGAUAACCUACCUAUAAGACUGGGAUAACUUCGGGAAACCGGAGCUAAUACCGGAUAAUAUAUUGAACCGCAUGGUUCAAUAGUGAAAGACGGUUUUGCUGUCACUUAUAGAUGGAUCCGCGCCGCAUUAGCUAGUUGGUAGGGUAACGGCUUACCAAGGCAACGAUGCGUAGCCGACCUGAGAGGGUGAACGGCCGCACUGGAACUGAGACACGGUCCAGACUCCUACGGGAGGCAGCAGUAGGGAAUCUUCCGCAAUGGGCGAAAGCCUGACGGAGCAACGCCGCGUGAGUGAUGAAGGUCUUCGGAUCGUAAAACUCUGUUAUUAGGGAAGAACAAAUGUGUAAGUAACUAUGCACGUCUUGACGGUACCUAAUCAGAAAGCCACGGCUAACUACGUG